UUGAGAUUUACCAAUGUACCUGAAGCAGGGAAUGGGCUCUGUGCUAGCAGCAAAAAGGAGUUAUUACUACAGGGAACUAUUAGAGGGGUAAUAACCUUCUCAUACCCAAGUGGACAAGUUUCCCUCUCUUUUUCACACAUACACAUCAUCAAAGUUGGUGCAAGUUUGCUGCCUUCCCAUUCUGUGCAGAAAGAUGAAGGCUAGCACAGGAAUGGUGAAAAAGAAAUACCUGCCCUCCUGGUUGCUUCAGGUCAAGAUUGAGAUGAAUUAGUUGGCAGAAAGGAUGCCUUGUCCUGCCACUGCCUUUGCAGCUGUUGUUCUGCGGAUGGGGAGUAUUUCAGCAAGCCUGACAGCUUUUAUGAACACUAAAAUGAUCUUUAAAAGUGGAUGUAAAAUCCCUUUAUUAUUUGGUUGUUUUUCCAAAGUCUUACACAAACCCUCCAGGAAACUCUACUGUUUGCCCUCAUAAAAGCAGCUCUGACAUUAGUCUCAGCAUGUUCAUUAACUAAAAUCGAGCCUUCCAAAGAAAUUCAGCUUUCAUCUUUGUACCCUUUUUGCUAAAUAAAGAAGCGCUUCGCCUCUCCGGUAUGACUUUUGGUCUACCUCGGAAGCCCAUCCUCUCGCAGCCCAUGUGGUGCGUUGUGGAAUCCUCCCGGGAUGUAACCAGCCCUGCGGAGGGGAGACCUGGGGUUGCCCUCCCAUAGCCGGGGGCUGCGUGGGGCCCGGGGGCCGCAGCUGGGGCGGGGGGUUCCCCGGGAAGGAGGGCGGGGGGCGGCGCAGGGGGGCGCAGCUCCCCGGCACCAAUCGCCUCCCGCAGGUCCCCGCGGCAGCGUUAGAGCCGCCGCGAUAGCCACGGGCAGCCGACCCGGGGGCAGCGGCGGCCACUUCCAGCGGGCAGCUCCGGGGAGCGGGGCGGCUGUGGGGCUCCCUCCUCCUCCGCUUCCUCCUCCUCCUCCUCCUCUGCCUGCGGCCGCGCAGCCCCCCCAGCCCGAGCCUCUCUCCGCAGCCGGAGACAGGAGCGAGUGGCAGCUCCCUCCGCGGCAGCGGAACGGGGCGGCGCGGGGAUGUGAGGGGCGCACCCGGCGGAGGAGGGAAGUCCCGUCGCCAGGAAGGCAGUCGGGAGCUCCUCCACACUGCAAGUCAGAGGGCGAGGAGGAGGCGGUGGGGAACGGAACGAGCCCACACCGGGUCGCUCUGGAGUUUGGCUGGGACAAGCUUCUCCCCGCUCCGCAAGUGCUCUUCUGCGGCGGCAGGACUGGGCAGAGCCGGGCAGGGCAGGGCGGAGCGGGGCACGGAGCGUCCCGGCGGCGCGGCUGCCCAUCGGGAGAGAGAAGCAGGUCAGAGAGACGGAGAGGGGGCAGAAAGAGCCGCCGGGGGCGUGGAGCGUCUGCCUCCAACUUUCCCGGGGCGGGGAGCCGCCUCGAGGAUUUCGGCAGAACGAGAAAUAACUAUGGGAGAAGGUGUGUGUGUGUGGAUGUGUGCGGAUGCUGUACAGCCGGAGCUGGAAACUAUCCCCCCCCGCCUGCCGCCCCCUCGCCGGGGCUCCCGAGGAAGAAGCGCCCCCCCGUCCGGGAGCGUCCGGGAGCGUCCGGGGGUGUCCGGGGGCUCCGGGGCUCGGCGGGCGCUGCGGGAGCGGCGCGGAGGGGCUGCGGGGGCACACAAAUGGUAAAAGAUACGGAAGGAAGAGCCCCAGUGGCUGGGACAUAA
rnacentral:lncRNA from 13 species